GAUGAACGCUGGCGGCGUGCCUAAUACAUGCAAGUCGAGCGAACAGACGAGGAGCUUGCUCCUCUGACGUUAGCGGCGGACGGGUGAGUAACACGUGGAUAACCUACCUAUAAGACUGGGAUAACUUCGGGAAACCGGAGCUAAUACCGGAUAAUAUAUUGAACCGCAUGGUUCAAUAGUGAAAGACGGUUUUGCUGUCACUUAUAGAUGGAUCCGCGCCGCAUUAGCUAGUUGGUAAGGUAACGGCUUACCAAGGCGACGAUGCGUAGCCGACCUGAGAGGGUGAUCGGCCACACGAAAAGUGAGACGCGGUCCAGACUCCUAGGAGAGGCAGCAGUAGAGAAUCUUCCGCAAGGGGCGAAAGCCUGACAGAGCAACGCCGCGUGAGUGAUGAAGGUCUUCGGAUCGUAAAACUCUGUUAUUAGGGGAAAACAAAUGUGUAAGUAACUAUGCACGUCUAGACUGUACCUAAACAGAAAGCCGCGGCUAACUACG
rnacentral:rRNA from 1 species